AGAGUUUGAUCCUGGCUCAGGAUGAACGCUGGCGGCGUGCCUAAUACAUGCAAGUCGAGCGAACGGACGAGAAGCUUGCUUCUCUGAUGUUAGCGGCGGACGGGUGAGUAACACGUGGAUAACCUACCUAUAAGACUGGGAUAACUUCGGGAAACCGUAGCUAAUACCGGAUAAUAUUUUGAACCGCAUGGUUCAAAAGUGGAAGACGGUCUUGCUGUCACUUAUAGAUGGAUCCGCGCUGCAUUAGCUAGUUGGUAAGGUAACGGCUUACCAAGGCAACGAUGCAUAGCCGACCUGAGAGGGUGAUCGGCCACACUGGAACUGAGACACGGUCCAGACUCCUACGGGAGGCAGCAGUAGGGAAUCUUCCGCAAUGGGCGAAAGCCUGACGGAGCAACGCCGCGUGAGUGAUGAAGGUCUUCGGAUCGUAAAACUCUGUUAUUAGGGAAGAACAUAUGUGUAAGUAACUGUGCACAUCUUGACGGUACCUAAUCAGAAGCCACGGCUAACUACGUGCCAGCAGCCGCGGUAAUACGUAGGUGGCAAGCGUUAUCCGGAAUUAUUGGGCGUAAAGCGCGCGUAGGCGGUUUCUAAGUCUGAUGUGAAAGCCCAGGCUCAACCGUGGAGGUCAUUGGAAACUGGAAAACUUGAGUGCAGAAGAGGAAAGUGGAAUUCCAUGUGUAGCGGUGAAAUGCGCAGAGAUAUGGAGGAACACCAGUGGCGAAGGCGACUUUCUGGUCUGUAACUGACGCUGAUGUGCGAAAGCGUGGGGAUCAAACAGGAUUAGAUACCCUGGUAGUCCACGCCGUAAACGAUGAGUGCUAAGUGUUAGGGGGUUUCCGCCCCUUAGUGCUGCAGCUAACGCAUAAGCACUCCGCCUGGGGAGUACGACCGCAAGGUUGAAACUCAAAGGAAUUGACGGGGACCCGCACAAGCGGUGGAGCAUGUGGUUUAAUUCGAAGCAACGCGAAGAACCUUACCAAAUCUUGACAUCCUUUGACAACUCUAGAGAUAGAGCCUUCCCCUUCGGGGGACAAAGUGACAGGUGGUGCAUGGUUGUCGUCAGCUCGUGUCGUGAGAUGUUGGGUUAAGUCCCGCAACGAGCGCAACCCUUAAGCUUAGUUGCCAUCAUUAAGUUGGGCACUCUAAGUUGACUGCCGGUGACAAACCGGAGGAAGGUGGGGAUGACGUCAAAUCAUCAUGCCCCUUAUGAUUUGGGCUACACACGUGCUACAAUGGACAAUACAAAGGGCAGCGAAACCGCGAGGUCAAGCAAAUCCCAUAAAGUUGUUCUCAGUUCGGAUUGUAGUCUGCAACUCGACUACAUGAAGCUGGAAUCGCUAGUAAUCGUAGAUCAGCAUGCUACGGUGAAUACGUUCCCGGGUCUUGUACACACCGCCCGUCACACCACGAGAGUUUGUAACACCCGAAGCCGGUGGAGUAACCUUUUAGGAGCUAGCCGUCGAAGGUGGGAUAAAUGAUUGGGGUGAAGUCGUAACAAGGUAGCCGUAUCGGAAGGUGCGGCUGGAUCACCUCCUUU
rnacentral:rRNA from 1 species